AACGAACGCUGGCGGCAGGCCUAACACAUGCAAGUCGAACGAGAUCUUCGGAUCUAGUGGCGGACGGGUGAGUAACGCGUGGGAACGUGCCCUUCUCUAACGGAAUAGUCCUGGGAAACUUGGGUUUAAAUACCGUAUACCGCCCGUUACGGGGGAAAGUAAGUUUCGGGGAAGGAUCCGGCCCGCGUUGGAUUAGGUAGUUGGUGGGUAAUGGCCUACCAAGCCGACGAUCCAUAGCUGGUUUGAGAGGAUGAUCAGCCACACUGGGACUGAGACACGGCCCAGACUCCUACGGGAGGCAGCAGUGGGGAAUCUUAGACAAUGGGGGCAACCCUGAUCUAGCCAUGCCGCGUGAGUGACGAAGGCCCUAGGGUCGUAAAGCUCUUUCGCCGGGAUGAUAAUGACAGUA
rnacentral:rRNA from 1 species